UACGGAGGAUGCAAGCGUUAUCCGGAAUGAUUGGGCGUAAAGCGUCCGCAGGUGGCUAUGUAAGUCUGCUGUAAGAAGUGAGGCUCAACCUCAUAAGAGCAGUGGAAACUACAUGGCUAGAGUACUGGAGAGGGUAGCGGAAUUCAUGGUGUAGCAGUGAAAUGCGUAGAUAUCAUGAGGAACACCAGAGGCGAAGGCGGCUACCUGGACAGUUACUGACGCUCAGGCACGAAAGCGUGGGGAGCAAAAGGG
rnacentral:rRNA from 1 species